GCGAAGAACGAUCGGCAGCAAACUUGCAAAGAAGGCUGCUGCACUAUGUUGAAUUGGGAAGGGCCCUGAUCAGUCCCAUGUGGAUCACCGUUGGAGGGCUUCUACUUUUGAGUUUUGUGGAGAUCUCAUGAUUACCAAAUUAUCAUCUUUAUGUUGGUAUAUAACUUCAGAUUUUUUCAUGUUAUACAUGCUUAUGUUAUUUGAUUGCAAUCAUCAAGGUGUUCCUAGGGCUUUUGUAU
rnacentral:lncRNA from 1 species